AACCUGUCCCUGAUGAUGAGAUGGUGUCUUUCAUCCUCUCUGGCCUAGAGAUUGAGUAUAACCCGAUUGUCUCAUCUGUUUUGAAUCGGACAGAUGAAAUCUCUCUCAGUGAUUUGUUUGCACAAGUCACAGC